UUAUGAGGUCAAAAUAAUUUAAAGGCAAGAGAUCCCAUUUGAUCUUGGAAGCUAAGUAUGGUCAGGUUAGUUAGUAACACCAUGAGGGACUGCCAAGGAAAACCAAGUGCUAUAGACU
rnacentral:rRNA from 11 species